rnacentral:tRNA from 1 species
GUCGAGGUGGCGGAAUGGUAGACGCCCGACACUUAAAAUGUCGUGAGUAGAAAUACUCGUAUGGGUUCGAGUCCCAUCCUCGACA